rnacentral:rRNA from 1 species
UACGGAGGGGGCUAGCGUUGUUCGGAAUUACUGGGCGUAAAGCGCGCGUAGGCGGACACUUAAGUCCGUGGUGAAAUCUCUGGGCUUAACCCAGAAACUGCCAUGGAUACUAUUUGUCUUGAAUGUUGUGGAGGUUAGCGGAAUAUGUCAUGUAGCGGUGAAAUGCAUAGAUAUGACAUAGAACACCAAUUGCGAAGGCAGCUGGCUACACAAAUAUUGACGCUGAGGCACGAAAGCGUGGGGAUCAAACAGG